CCUACGGGAGGCUGCAGUGAGGAAUAUUGGUCAAUGGGCGCGAGCCUGAACCAGCCAAGUAGCGUGAAGGAUGACUGCCCUACGGGUUGUAAACUUCUUUUAUAAAGGAAUAAAGUGGGGCACGUGUGCCUUUUUGUAUGUCCUUUAUGAAUAAGGAUCGGCUAACUCCGGGCCAGCAGCCGCGGUAAUACGGAGGAGCCGAGCGUUAUCCGGUUUUAUUGUGUUUAAAGGGAGCGUAGAUGGGUUGUUAAGUCAGUUGUGAAAGUUUGCGGCUCAACCGUAAAAUUGCAAUUGAUACUGGCAGUCUUGAGUACAGUUGAGGUAGGCGGAAUUCGUGGUGUAGCGGUGAAAUGCUUAGAUAUCACGAAGAACUCCGAUUGCGAAGGCAGCUUACUAAACUGCCACUGACAUUGAUGCUCGAAAGUGUGGGUAUCAAACAGGAUUAGAUACCCCGGUAGUC
rnacentral:rRNA from 1 species